rnacentral:rRNA from 1 species
UACGUAGGGGGCAAGCGUUAUCCGGAUUCACUGGGUGUAAAGGGAGCGUAGACGGCGACGCAAGUCUGGAGUGAAAGCCCGGGGCCCAACCCCGGGACUGCUCUGGAAACUGCGUCGCUGGAGUACGGGAGGGGCAGGCGGAAUUCCUGGUGUAGCGGUGGAAUGCGUAGAUAUCAGGAGGAACACCGGCGGCGAAGGCGGCCUGCUGGACCGUGACUGACGUUGAGGCUCGAGAGCGUGGGGAGCAAACAGG